CAAAAGCGUAUAUUAAAGUUGUUGCAGUUAAAAAGCUCGUAGUUGAACCUUGGGCUUGGCUGGCCGGUCCAUCUUUUUUGAUGCGUACUGGACCCAGCCGAGCCUUUCCUUCUGGCUAGCCUUUUGGCGAACCAGGACUUUUACUUUGAAAAAAUUAGAGUGUUCAAAGCAGGCCUUUGCUCGAAUAUAUUAGCAUGGAAUAAUAGAAUAGGACGUUAUGGUUCUAUUUUGUUGGUUUCUAGGACCAUCGUAAUGAUUAAUAGGGACGGUCGGGGGUACCAGUAUUCAGUUGUCAGAGGUGAAAUUCUUGGAUUUACUGAAGACUAACUACUGCGAAAGCAUUUACCAAGGACGUUUUCAUUAA
rnacentral:rRNA from 1 species